rnacentral:rRNA from 1 species
CGUUGUGGUUAGCCUAACUGCCGCCUCUGUCCACUUAGCAAGCAAGGUCAAGAGCCGGCGGCUCAUCUCUUUUUCCAAUGCCACUUCACAACCCGUGUUUGGAAACACAUUCUACCGUGGCUUGGCAUGCAUCACAUCACUACGACAACAUGGCCGACGAGGGCUUCGGUGAGAGAUUGGUGGAACGUCAACCUUCAGAUUCUCCUAGGGUCUCCCAAGGUGCUUGCCCCUGUGAUGAUGCUCAUUUCUUGGGAGAUUUGGUUGGAGCGUAAUGCUAGAGUCUUUCGAAAGACGGAUGUCCCUUCCAUGGUUAUUAUCAACAUGAUUAAAGAGGAGGUGUCUCUUUGGGCUUUGGCGGGCACAAAGCAUUUGAAUAUUGUAAUGCUGUUUUAUUUUGCCCUUUUUUUAGCCGCAAAUCGUAGAACAAUAGUUCUACGGUAA